UACGUAGGGUGCGAGCGUUUAAUCGGAAUUACUGGGCGUAAAGGGUGCGCAGGCGGUCUCGUAAGCUGGGUGUGAAAGCCCCGGGCUUAACCUGGGAAUGGCAUUCAGGACUGCGAGGCUUUGAGUGCGGCAGAGGGAGGUGGAAUUCCACGUGUAGCAGUGAAAUGCGUAGAGAUGUGGAGGAACACCGAUGGCGAAGGCAGCCUCCUGGGCCAGCACUGACGCUCAUGCACGAAAGCGUGGGGAGCAAACAGGAU
rnacentral:rRNA from 1 species